GCCAGUGCGCUGGCUAUGACAAUAAACCGCCGUCGCAAUAAACCAUUCGGACCCGGGGGCAGUACCCGGCGCCUCCACCA
rnacentral:tmRNA from 1 species